rnacentral:rRNA from 1 species
CCUACGGGGCGCAGCAGUGAGGAAUAUUGGUCAAUGGGCGCGAGCCUGAACCAGCCAAGUCGCGUGAGGGAAGACGGCCCUACGGGUUGUAAACCUCUUUUGCCGGGGAGCAACGGGCGCCACGUGUGGCGCCACUGAGAGUACCCGGAGAAAAAGCAUCGGCUAACUCCGUGCCAGCAGCCGCGGUAAUACGGAGGAUGCGAGCGUUAUCCGGAUUUAUUGGGUUUAAAGGGUGCGUAGGCGGAGCGUUAAGUCAGUGGUCAAAUUGAGGGGCUCAACCUCGCUCCGCCGUUGAAACUGGCGUUCUUGAGGGGGCGAGAAGUAUGCGGAAUGCGUGGUGUAGCGGUGAAAUGCAUAGAUAUCACGCAGAACUCCGAUUGCGAAGGCAGCAUACCGGCGCCCAACUGACGCUGAAGCACGAAAGCGUGGGUAUCGAACAGGAUUAGAUACCCUUGUAGUC